rnacentral:tRNA from 1 species
GAUCCCGUAGUGUAGUGGUAGCACGUGCGCCUAACACGCGCAAGGUCCCCGGUUCGAGCCCGGGCGGAAUCA